GACGAACCGUGCGAACGUUAUUCGGAAUCACUGGGCUUAAAGCGCGUGUAGGCGGGACGGCACGUCGGUCGCUGAAAGCCCCCGGCUCAACCGGGGAACGGGCGCCGAUACGACCGUCCUGGAGGGACGUAGGGGGACCUGGAACUUCCGGUGGAGCGGUGAAAUGCGUUGAUAUCCACAGGAACUCCGGUGGCGAAGGCGGCUUGCUGGACCUUUUCUGACGCUGAGGCGCGAAAGCCAGGGGAGCAAACGGG
rnacentral:rRNA from 1 species